rnacentral:rRNA from 1 species
UACGGAGGGGGUUAGCGUUGUUCGGAAUUACUGGGCGUAAAGCGCGCGUAGGCGGACUAGUCAGUCAGGGGUGAAAUCCCGGGGCUCAACCCCGGAACUGCCUUUGAUACUGCUAGUCUUGAGUUCGAGAGAGGUGAGUGGAAUUCCGAGUGUAGAGGUGAAAUUCGUAGAUAUUCGGAAGAACACCAGUGGCGAAAGGCUGGCUCACUGGCUCGAUACUGACGCUGAGGUGCGAAAAGUGUGGGGGAGCAAAACAGGAUUAGAUACCCCCCGUAGUCC